GGAGUGGUGCCUGGUCGUCUCUGCAGUGGUGCAAGAGGUGGUAGGAUGUACUUAACAUUCAGUUGCUUAACUCUGUUGCCAUUUUUUCACUGCUAGCAUGUACUUCCAGCUGAUUCUCUAUGGACUGCAGUUCCUUAACAUUCAGUCCAGAUAGAUCUUCUCCCAUCAACAGCCUGUAGUAAGUCAAUCUAAAAAUAUUGUUACACUGCAUUAUAUCUCAUUUACGGUUAGGCAAAAUGUUCUUGUGAUAAGAGGUUUAGCAUUAUAUUUUCUCUAGUAAAUAUGGACAGUCAAAGUCACAAAUUUAUAAUAUAAUUAGAAAAAAUACACCAAUUUGUCCCAGUUUAGAUAACUGGAUUUUAGUGACAGCGGUCUCGCAUUGUGAUUCAAAAAAUGAUUCUUUACCUAAUACAACAGAUAUUAGAACAUUGUUUGCAUCUAAAAGUGUUAGAGGGUGUGGAUAAUAAGAUGAUUGCAGUACAUCAGGUGCUUGGUGAAGAUGAAUUACUUUCUGCCUACUAGAUACAGGCUCAGAACUGGAGUUGGUUUCUUUGUAAUUUCAGCCACUUGUGGGACCUAUAUUGGAAACUCAAUCGGAACAGAUACUAAUACCCAGCUAUAGGACCACCAUGUUUUUAGGUAGAGUAUGGGAGCUCAGUUCAAAGUUGCACACUGUUGUUACUGUGUAACAGUCUUUAUUUAAAAAACCAGUCAGUUAGUUAAAUUUAAAAAGUAGCUUUCCAUGAUCAUUUGUUACCAUGCCUCUUUGGUGCCUUUGAUGAGCUCUGUCUGUUUUAUAGUCUUAUUACUUUGGAACCUGCAUCAUACUAACUGCAACGGUAGUUAAGGUACAUUUACAGUACAAGCCAUUAUAUUGAUCCUAUCGAAAUACAACAUAUGUUUAAAUAACUCAUGAUCUGUUCCUUUGAUGACAUUAUUCACGUCAAGAUAUAACAAUUUCAGAAUACAAAUUGUGAGUAAUUUAGUUUGUGAAAACAAUACUGGGAAACUCUCAAUUAGACACUAUGUACUUGGAGAACCUGAAUCGAGGUAGUGUCAAAUACUAGCGACUAUCUUUGGAAAUUAUAUAUCUACCAGAAGGAGAAGAGGAGCAUCAUCGUACAUUGACAGUAUGUGAGGGACGCCACCGUUCUGUUAUCAUUGCACGAUGUGGAAAUUUCAAAGAGAUGAUAAGUAAUGUACCAUUAGUUUGCCAUGUAUCUCCAAGGGGGAGUGUUUAUGAUGAACAAGAGAAACCUGCUAGAAGACAUUCUCAUUAAUUCAAUGGAUGCGGCCACGGAAAAGAAAGUUUUGACCCAUAACAUGGAAGAUCUGAUGAUAUAAAAGGCAGUGCACUCAAAUGAAGGCUUAGACUUCUUACAUCAAGUGCGUUCAACAUUGAGGCGCCUCUCGACUAAAUGGUCUCUGUAGCUACCAAAAACACUAGGCAAAACGAAUAUGAGGCUGUUGAGUAGAGUAGCAGCAGAAAUAGUAUGUAUCAUGUGGCCUUAAGGUUUUUGUAUGGGGCUAUUGGAAUAUCAUUCAAAUUUAACAAAUGAGAUGUUGCA